GCCUGGGUGGCUCAGUCGGUUAAGCGUCUGACUUCGGCUCAGGUCAUGAUCUCGCGGUCUGUGAGUUCAAGCCCCGCGUCGGGCU
rfam:Felis catus isolate Cinnamon breed Abyssinian chromosome A1, whole genome shotgun sequence.